GACGAACGCUGGCGGCGUGCUUAACACAUGCAAGUCGAACGGUAAGGCCCUUCGGGGUACACGAGUGGCGAACGGGUGAGUAACACGUGGGUGAUCUGCCCUGCACUUCGGGAUAAGCCUGGGAAACUGGGUCUAAUACCGGAUAGGACCACUGCCUGCAUGGGUGGUGGUGGAAAGCUUUUGCGGUGUGGGAUGGGCCCGCGGCCUAUCAGCUUGUUGGUGGGGUGAUGGCCUACCAAGGCGACGACGGGUAGCCGGCCUGAGAGGGUGACCGGCCACACUGGGACUGAGAUACGGCCCAGACGCCUACGGGAGGCAGCAGUGGGGAAUAUUGCACAAUGGCGCAAGCCUGAUGCAGCGACGCCGCGUGAGGGAUGACGGCCUUCGGGUUGUAAACCUCUUUCAGCACCGACGAAGCGCAAGUGACGGUAGGUGCAGAAGAAGGACCGGCCAACUACGUGCCAGCCGCCGCUGUAA
rnacentral:rRNA from 1 species